rnacentral:rRNA from 1 species
AUGAGCAGCAGAGCGCAGCAGGGCGAAAAGGGCUCCGAGUCAGCCGCCCGCACGCGGCCUCUGAGCAUCCAUGAGAUCUUGCUGCGGCGGGAGAAGAAGGCCCUCACAGAGGCUAAGAAGGCCGCCGCGGAAGCUAAGAAGGCCAGGGAAGAGCUCCAGGACAAGGAUAAGUGUAAACCUAAUCACUCGGAGCCGGGAAGAGGGCACAAGAGCAGAAAGGAUCUCAAGGAUGUGCCUGCGGAGGGUUCCAAAAAGGAGAGUGUUAGAGAUGCGUCAAGGGAGGACUCCAAGAAGGAUGAUGUGCGGCGUACUUCUAAGGAGGGUUCCAGGAAGGAGAGCAUUAGAGAUGCACCCUCCAAGAAGGAUGAUGUGAGGCAUGCAUCUAAGGAGGGUUCCAAAAAGGAGAGCAUUAGAGACGCACCAAAGGAGGUCUCCAAGAAGGAAAACUUGAAAGAGAGGCCAAAAGAUGGCUCCAAGGUGGAUGAAUUGAAAGAUACACCAAAGGUUCCAAGGAAGGAUGACCACAGAGAUGCACCAAACAAGGGCUCCAAGAAAGAGAGGUCCUCUGUAAGAGAUGAUAGUCAGUCAGCUGGCAAAGACAAUGAUGCUCGUAAUUCACAUAAACAUUGCACAAGCAUGAGAGGCCGGCCUGCUGAAAGCAAGGAUGGAAACCAUGGUGAAAUCAGAGCAAGAAAUGGUGAUGCGACAAGAUCUGAGUCUCUAAAGGGACCGGGGAAGAGAUGGAAUGGUGAACCUGUUCACAAUGAUAGAAUCAUGGAGAGGAGCGAUAAGCUCCGGAAUGAGGCAAAAAGGAAAAUCCAUGGUUUUGAUGAUGAAAAGCCUUCAUAUGUUGAUCGACCGGUGCUGAAGAAACAUGAUUCCGCGCGAUUCCGAGUUUCCAAACACUAUGACAUAAAUGAUGCAAGGAGAGAGUACGGAAAACCAUACCGUGAAGAGCCCAGGUCAAAAAGGAGAAGGUCAAGAAGCAGGGAUCAUGAUCAAGGAAGACGUGACAGAUCUCUCUCACUAUCCCCAAGGGAACAAAGGCGUAGCUACCAUGGAAAUGAUCAUGACAAUUAUCCUCCUGGAAGGAAGUAUGCUGAAAACGACAGGUACAGAACAUCUGAUAAUGUUGGACAAGGUGGUGGGUCUUACCAGAGAUAUGAAAGUCGGCUUGGUGGCUACUCACCAAGGAAAAGGAAAACAGUGCCACAAGAUGAACAAUUGACUACCACGAUUACCCCACCAGUCAUUCGAUCACCAGAAAAGAAACCAGCCACGUGGGAUCAGCCUCCCACAGCAGCAGACCAAUCUAAUUUCUUCACCAAUUUGCAGCCAAUUGUUAGUCAAACCUCUUCUGUUUCAGUCAGUUUUAGCACACCAAAGCAGAACCCUGCUACUGCGCUUGACACUAUAUUGUCAGGGAAUAGUUCGUCUAUUGAUUCUGUCCAGCUAACACAAGCAACACGCCCACUUAGGAGGUUGCACAUCGAGAAUUUAACUAGUUCAGCUUCAGAGGAUAUGUUGAUUGGUUGCUUGAAUGACUUCUUGCUGUCAUCGGGUGUUAACCGUAUCCAGAGGUCUAAACAACCAUGCCUCAGUUGUACGAUAAAUAAGGAAAAACGCCAGGCAUUUGUUGAAUUUCUUACACCAGAAGAUGCUACAGCAGCUCUUUCUUUUGAUGGAAGAUCUUUCAAUGGGUCUACUCUGAGAAUUAGACGCCCCAAAGAAUAUAUUGAAAUGGCACAUGUUGCUCAAAAGAAGCCCGUGGAAGAAGAGAUUAAAGAAGCAUCUGAUGUUGUUGCAGAUUCACCACACAAGAUUUUCAUUGCUGGUAUUUCUGGUGUUCUUUCAUCUGAGAUGCUCGUGGAAAUUGUUAGUUCAUUUGGCCAGUUAGCUGCAUACCACUUUGUUUGUAAUGAAGACCUUGGUGGGCGAUGUGCAUUUCUUGAGUAUAUUGAUCACUCCAUUACAAACAAGGCAUGUGCUGGCCUCAAUGGGAUGAAGCUUGGUGGGUGCAUCCUAACUGCUGUUCAGGUUUUUCCCAAUCCUCUCGAGGUUCGCAAUGAAGCUUCCCCAUUUUAUGGUAUUCCUGAUAGUGCCAAAGCGCUUCUUGAAGAACCAACAAAUGUCCUGCAGCUAAAAAAUGUGUUUGACCAAGAAGAGUUUUUGGCACUUUCAAAACCUGAGCUGGAGGAAAUAUUGGAAGACGUACGCAUGGAGUGUGCAAGGUUUGGAGCAGUCAAAUCCAUAAAUAUUGUAGAGUAUCCUGCUAGCAGUGACAGCAUUACUGAGGAUGUCCUAGUUGAGCCCAAAGAUGAGCCAGUAAAGCUUGAGCCCACUGAAUGUCGUGCCAAUGAUAACUGUGUGGAGACUGGAACAGAUUGCUCUUUACCAAGUAGGAGCAUAGUAGUUCCGUCCAACCCUAUGGAAAUUACAGGUGCUGAGUGCCAGGAUCACAAAGAGCUUGACACACUUCGUGAAUGUGAUGGGUCUGCAGCGGCAGAUCAGUACACCGACCUAGAUGACAUCCAUGCUAGAGCUGCUGGCCCCACAGUGGAUCAACAAACAGAGACCGAUCAUAUGGAUUCUGUGCAGGCUGAUCAAGAUGCUACUGCAGUGGGCGACAUCCAUGCUAGAGCUGCUGGCCCCACAGUGGAUCAACAAACGGAGGCCGAUCAUAUGGAUUCUAUGCAGGCUGAUCAAGAUGCUACUGCAGUGGGUGAGAUCCAUGCUAGAGCUGCUGGCACCACAGUGGAUCAACAAACGGAAGCCGAUCAUAUGGAUUUUACGCAGGCUGAUCAAGAUGCUAUUGCAGUGGAUGACAUCCAUGCUAGAGCUGCUGACCCCACAGUGGAUCAACAAACAGAGGCUUAUCAUGUGGAUCCUCUGCAGGCCGAUCAAGAUGCUACUUCAGUGGGCGACAUCCAAGCUAGGGCUGCUGGGCCCAGAGUGGAUCAGCAAACAGAGGCUGAUCAUGUGGAUUCUUUGCAGGCUGAGCAAGAUGCUACUGCAGUGGGUGACAUCCAUGCUAAUGCUGCUGGCCCCACAGACACAGUGGAUCAAGAAAUGGAGGCUGAUCAUAUGGAUUCUACGCAGGCUGAUCAAGAUGGUACUGCAGUGGACUACAUCCAAGGUAGAGCUGCUGACAUGGAUUCUACACAAACUGAUCAAGAUGCUUCUCCAGUUGGUGAAGAUAGUUUAGGAGAAGGACAUGCAGGCCCAACAACUUUGGAGGCCUGUGGUUCUACUACACCCGUAGGUGUGGUGGAGAAAUCCGAAACUGAGAAGGAGCAACAAAGCGCUGAUGAUGUGAGUGAAAGUGGUGCAGAAAAACUACCCGUUGCUCCAGUUUCAGACACCAUCGUACUGGAGGCUGGCUCUAUACUGGUGGAGUUCAUGCGGAAGGAGGCUGCAUGCAUGGCCGCACAUUCCUUACAUGGGCGCAGCUUCGGCGACAGGACCGUGUCUGCUGGAUACGCCCCUCAUGCUCUCUACCUGCAGAGGUACCCGAGGUGA